AGAGUUUGAUCAUGGCUCAGGAUGAAUGCUGGCGGCGUGCCUAAUACAUGCAAGUCGAGCGGUAAGGCCCUUCGGGGUGCACGAGCGGCGGACGGCUGAGUAACGCGUGGGAACAUGCCCCAAAGUGAGGGAUAACGCACCGAAAGGUGUGCUAAUACCGCAUAUGGUCUUCGGAUUAAAGGAUUUAUCCGCUUUGGGAGUGGCCCGCGUACGAUUAGAUUGUUGGUGAGGUAACGGCUCACCAAGUCGACGAUCGUUAACUGGUCUGAGAGGAUGAUCAGUCAGACUGGAACUGAGACACGGUCCAGACUCCUACGGGAGGCAGCAGUAAGGAAUCUUCCACAAUGGGCGAAAGCCUGAUGGAGCAACGCCGCGUGCAGGAUGAAGGCCCUCGGGUCGUAAACUGCUUUUAUGAGUGAAGAAUAUGACGGUAACUCAUGAAUAAGCACCGGCUAACUACGUG
rnacentral:rRNA from 1 species